rnacentral:lncRNA from 1 species
CCACCACAGAGCUUUGCUUCAUUUAAUAACUGACUUAUGCAUUCAACUCAUUCAUUUGUUCAACAACAACAACAAAAAAUAGCUGAGUAACUGCUCCAUACUUGUCACUCUGCUAGGAUUUGCAGGUAUUUAAAUUGUUGGAGAGUUUAUACCACUUUAAAAGAAUUGAAUCUAAAAGUGGAUAAAUGGCCACCAGGUGUCACAAACCCUCAGACUGGCAAGAACGUUUAUUUUUUUAUGGCUCACAAAGCUAUGCUCAUCAAUCCUUUGGUGUUGACAGCAAGGUAUCCCACAGUAUCUACCAGGUAGCUGUUGACCUGUAAAUCAUCCACCUUCUCUCCCAGACUUAUUGCCUCUGGGGAGCCCCUGCAUGGCAGCCUCCAGCUUGGAGCUGAAAAUAAUUGCUGAUCUUUAUAAAGGCACAGAGAGGCCUGAGGGAAGGAAUACUGGACCUAGAGAAUAGUGGCAGUGGUACAAAAGGGGCUGACCAGUCUGUAUAGUAACCUUUUUCUAAAAAAUUCAAUUGCAAGCCUUCCCAAGUCUGCACAUCCAGUUCUGUUGGCUUGUUAUCUGCGGCAGCAGAGAUCAGAUAUGAUGACAAAGCUAUGUGAACCCUGGGUGGAGAGACAUUCCCGUGAUGUGCCCUGUGGGACUUUUUCCUUCCAGCUGACAGCAUCGUCUGUUACAAAAAAAAAAAUAAAAAAAUAAAAAAAUUGUGCUUCUAAUCAAGACUGAAGCUGAGAAAUUGUCCUGACAGGGAUGGAAGCUGUAGCAUGCAUGGCCUGUUAGAUUUGCAUUCUUUGUUCAGUGGGACGUAAAGUCACUACCAACAAAUUGAAAUACCAAGGCUAGUCUCUCUGACUUUCCUAAACACAAUCACUCCACCCUCCACAUGCAUGCCUGCAGAUACACACAUCCACAUUACUACUACAGUCAAGUCUUUUUUUCUUUUUAGUUUCAGGUGGAAUCAAUCAAUCAAUUUCUCUCUGUGUAUCUGUCUCUCUCCAAUACUUCCCUGACUCAUGGCUGAUUUUCCUUCCAGAUUUGGUUUGUUUUAAAUUCAGGACAACCUUGAUAAAAUAAAGACACUUUACCACUAAGGAGAUUUGGGGGAAAGAAAAUAAGCCUCUGUCCUUAAAGGAAAUAGCAAAAGUUGAGUCAAAAAAUUUUUUUGAGUGGGCAUUAAUUGCAGAAAUAAGUGAGCGUUUCCCCACAAUGAUUA